CAAAAGAUCGUUUAAUUUAGGAUUCUGGCUUUGGGAGUCAGGGGUGUGAGUUAAAAUCUCUCUCUUUUGGUGG
rnacentral:tRNA from 1 species